rnacentral:sRNA from 1 species
UACAAACUUGGUAGAAUUAACGACGUCAACACAUCUUAUUGCAGGAGAUUACUGAUGACCCCAUGGAUGU